UACGUAGGGUGCAAGCGUUAUCCGGAAUUAUUGGGCGUAAAGAGCUCGUAGGCGGUUUGUCACGUCUGCUGUGAAAACUGGAGGCUCAACCUCCAGCCUGCAGUGGGUACGGGCAGACUAGAGUGCGGUAGGGGAGAUUGGAAUUCCUGGUGUAGCGGUGGAAUACGUAGAUAUCAAGCGGAACACCGGUGGCGAAGGCGGCCUUCUGGACAGUGACUGACGCUGAGACGCGAAAGCGUGGGGAGCAAACAGG
rnacentral:rRNA from 1 species